GACGAACGCUGGCGGCGUGCUUAACACAUGCAAGUCGAACGGAAAGGCCCUGCUUUUGUGGUGUGCUCGAGUGGCGAACGGGUGCGUAACACGUGAGUAACCUGCCCUUGACUUUGGGAUAACUUCAGGAAACUGGGGCUACUACCGGAUAGGAGCUCCUGCUGCAUGGUGGGGGUUGGAAAGUUUCGGCGGUUGGGGAUGGACUCGCGGCUUAUCAGCUUGUUGGUGGGGUAGUGGCUUACCAAGGCUUUGACGGGUAGCCGGCCUGAGAGGGUGACCGGCCACAUUGGGACUGAGAUACGGCCCAGACUCCUACGGGAGGCAGCAGUGGGGAAUAUUGCACAAUGGGCGGAAGCCUGAUGCAGCAACGCCGCGUGCGGGAUGACGGCCUUCGGGGUGUAAACCGCUUUCGCCUGUGACGAAGCGUGAGUGACGGUAAUGGGUAAAGAAGCACCGGCUAACUACGUG
rnacentral:rRNA from 1 species